rnacentral:lncRNA from 1 species
AUGUCGAUUUGCAGGUUUACCAACAGGGAGGUUAAUAAUCAGGAUCUGUAUUAUACAAACAACCAUGUGAACUUAAAAGCAGAUAUUUUUCUCAGAGUCUUCAAAUACCAGUCCAGCCAAGCUGACAUCUUGAUUUUAACCUGCUUUAGUUCUUUCUCCCCAUUGUCAAAGUGCUUCUUGGCUGCCUGUGGGGUUGGCAUGAAAAGGAUUGAGCGUCAGAGUGGAUGUCUCUUUGCCCACUUUUUGGGUUGUGGUCUAGAAGCAUAUUGUGAUUUCUACAAGACACACGUUCCCAUUUGGAGCUUUAACAAAUUCAACCGUUUCAUGUUCUGUAGAGAAGUACUGAGCAGCUUAAAGCAUUUGAAUGGGAGGAGGAGAAGAAACUACAGCUACUUCGGAGAAUGACGGUAAACACCUAGUCCACUCUGUAUACACUAGAGGUAGGAGAGGUGGUUCAUACAACUCCACGUGUGCUCAAAGUUUUCCCCUGGCCUUCUUGGUUAGUUCUGUGUUGUCUAAUAUUUCAGGAAAAAAUAAUGUAACAGAGUUCUCAAUCUCAAACUAAACCCUGAGCUUUAUUUUUUUUUGAAACACUGAAGCAAAGAACCUGGAAAAGCCAUUAUUUAGAAGUUGCAAGCUGUUGUUUUGACUCCCUAGAAGUUGUUUCAUUUCUCAGGGCCAGCUGUCCUCUUACAGAGGGAGAGCCACCAGAAUGGGAUCUUUAGUAAUACAAAUCAGAACAAGCAUUAAUUCAGUAUUCUUCAUAAUAAUAAAAUUCACUGCCCACUUGAGUGCACAGGGUUUAUUAUGAAAUGGUAACACCCUUAGCCUUGUGGAUGAGGGACCCCAGAUCUGAGCCCUGUGAUUUAAGGGUCCAGAAUUCUAGCUCUGCUCUGGCUAUACCUCUUCUCAUGGGGCAAUGAAUCUGUAGGCCACAUUAGAGCACAUUCUCCUUCCUCCUUCAAGACUAAGCUCCAGGCAGGCAGAUUCAAUAGGUGCACUGCCAAGGGUCCCUGUUACUGUUAGGGGCCAUAAAAACAUUCAAGUUUCUUUUAAAAUGAGAAGGAAAGAAUGAACUUUUAAGUUGAAAACAUAUCUGACAUCAUAUCAAUAUAUUCAUUCCUAUACCAACACAGUUGUAAGAUGUAACUUGUGAUAUAGUUUAUGGAAAAGGAGGGCCACAAAUACAAAGGCACCUAGAGUUCAUUAAAGACAUAAAGUGGUUCUUUCUCUAGCCAGCCAGAACCCUAGACUUUUAUGUCCAAGAGGUCCAAGCCUACUUCCAGGGCCUACGAGGGUCUCUUCCCCAGGUGUCUUCUUUGAAGAGCAGACAGCACACUGGUAUGAGCACCCCGAAGCACACCAGUGACUACGGCUGAUCUUGUAUAGUCUGUGUCUGAAGUGUGGGUGUAUGGCCUAGCGUGUUCCUGUGUCUAUGUGUGAGGCAUCUUGUAAUAGGAGAUGGCGUUAGGGGCAGUAUGAAAGGGAGCGGAGACAGGGGCUGGGGCUAGUUCUCUUCACAAGAUUGUGUUCUGGUGCAGAGUGUGUAGACAGCAUCAUUUGAGCAAGCUGUAUGAGAAAAGACAUCGCAAAUGCUUUGAAUCUGGGAAGCGUCACUGAUCCUUCACUGUUAUUAAGAAGAUAACAUUGUACACUAAGCCCGUCAAAGAGAUGCAAGUUAAGUGCAGGCUAAUAACAAUUUUCUGUAAAUAACUUAAUGGUGAAUUUUAUCUAUCAGCUGCUGUUAAUUUUCUGGUAGAGAAGAAACUGUCUUUAGAAAAAUAUCUCAAAAAGCCACUGAAGUAGAAAGUUUCAGCAUGCUGAAGAUGGAACGUGGAAAGGUGGAAAGUUCUGGGCCCUUAGUGACAUCACUGAGUUGCUGGACCUGGAACCACUGUGUGUCAUAGUAUUAGAUAAAUAUUCCCACUAAAAAUCUCCUUACUAUCUCAGAGAUUUUUAGUGGGAAUAUUUAUUUCUGGCCUCGAGUAAGACCUUGCAGGAUUAGCAGUUUCAUCUGUGUGUUUAUUUUCUUUGUUGUCUGCUCCACCCUACUUGAUUGUGAUCGCCAUGACAUCAAUGACUAUGCACGUUUUGUUCACCCAGGAAUAUCCAGUGCCUACCACGCAGAGCGUGGUGCGUGUGCAUGCCCACUUGGCAUCUGGUGUAGCAAAGAGUGAAAGAAGGAAUAAAUGCCUUCUCCCAUGAUGAGGGGACAUGGAUCCAGACAAGCUGGACAUCUCCCCAGGCCCAGCACUCUGCUUUAUAAGUUCUUCCAGUACAGCAUCACAUGCCGUUACAACAGAGUGAAAUCUCCCAAGAACACAGCUGAUUGUUUCAUGCUUGCAAAAAGGGCUGACUAAUCUUUCCUUCUCCUGUAAGGCAAGCCAGCACUCUUCCAGUCUUCCUUUAGGUGGCGCCUCUUCUUGUCAGUCAACACAUGGAUCCAUUAUAGAAACAUCUGAGCUAGUCAAGUUAAUCCUUAACUAAACUGGAGUAGUGCUGAUCAUUCGGCCUUAAGAAUUGAAAAAUCACAGCAUUGCUGAAAGAGAAGGCUUUCUUUUUUCAGGUAGAGAGGCGUAAGUCUUAGGCCAGGAAGCUUCAGUAAGAAGACAAUAAUUUCACAGAAAUGCAUUAGCUUGGGGAGUCCAACUGCUGUUCUUGCAUGUGAGAAAUUCAGAGGAGAGCUCUUUGCUUCCUUGCUCAUUUCAAUGUUAGGAGUCAGGCCUUGCCCCCGAGUGCUCAGCUUGAUACUUACUCACUAAGCCUUGAAUUAAUCCAGUGAAGCUCUAGGCCUUUUAUGGGAUUCACAGGAAUAAAUAGCAUUUAAAUGUAUGUUCUCAAAGGUCAAGUCUUUGACCCAAAUCUGAAGAUUGAGAGAAUUGUUCACUCUAAUAAUUCUGCUAGAUCCCCAGCUUCACACAAACCAUUUAUUUCAGACUAAACCUUUAACAAUCUUUUCUUACCUGUAGUUUUGUUGUCAUUUAGAAAACACAGAAAUACUCGAUUUUAAUUGGAACUAAGUGACAAAAAUAAGCCACUUCAUGCGUUUUCUGGAUAAUGGUAAAAUGUAAGGGAAAAAGCCACCUCUUGUUCCAAGUGGUAUUUUACAGUGAUUUUUUUUCCUUUUGACUGCAUCGUAGAAUUCUACUGGAGGCAUUUCUGGGCAACUUUUUCUUGUUAACGAAUCAUCCCCUUUGAGAAUCAACAGGUAAUUUCAGGAACCCAGGUGUAAGUGAUUUAAAGUGGACUUUGUGGGUGGAACCAAUGUUUACCCAGUGCAUUCAUUCGACAAACAUUUGAUGAGCACCAAAUUAGAGUUCAGCUACAGAUAACAAACACCAGUUGAACUAAUUUCAUCAGAAAGCUACUUGAUAGGAGUAAUUAGGUGCUUACAAAAUAGAAGGGCUGGAAGCCCAGGCUCUAGGCUGACGCCCAUGUAGCUAGACCCCGGAAACGGAGACUCCAGCUGCUGCAGAACAGCCAAAGGUGUUCAUGACUGUGCUUGUUGGUCAGCAGGCGCGUGGCCCUGCCUCGUGAUACUGUGUUUUUCAGUUCUCGCGUGGGUGAGUCUAUUUGGAGAAGUUGGUUCAAGAUGCAGCUUGACUCUCAGGGAGUCUCUGUAACAACGCUUAAUGUUGUUAGCUUUCUGGCCUCCAGCAUACAGUGUGGUUUUCUGGAAGAAAGAUUUAAUGUAGUUAAGGAUGCCAACGUGUAAUAUCUGAUGUCCAUUUCUGCCCUGCUUGGGAUACAAAAUAAAAAAGUCAGUUUCUGUCCUUGAGAAGUGUGCAGUUUAGUGAGAAGACAGACUCUUGAACAAAGAAGUAUACUUCACUAUUGCCAGCCCAGGAUUCGAGACAGGUAUUAAGAGGAACCGUGGUGAGUGAUAUUUUGCAUCUGGUGUAGGACAGUUCUCCAGAUGGCUGUGGACCAACCCAGUUCUCCCCCUUUCUCACUGUAGUUCUUAAGAAUAACUAGAAUGUGCUGGGAAUGCAACAUCCUGAGAUAAGGCCUAGGCUCUGUUCCAGUCCCCUCUAGAAACAGGAUGUCCUUCAACACAUUAAUCCAGCAGGUCAUGUUAUCCCUGGAGUAGAAAACCCAGAGAGGGUUGCUUUCCAGGGUCCUUCGUCUGUGGUGCAAGUGAGGCACGCACAGACGAGACUCCACCUGCCCUGGGCAGCUUUCCUGAGCAUGGGAAACCUCUGACCAUGAAUCCUAGGUGUCUACUGUUCCUUGCCGCCCCUUCACGGAACCCGUUGUAUGUACGAGUGUUCUCUCUUACUGGAGCAAGUAGUGAAAGUUCAGCCCAAGAUUCAGUGGGCUGAAGUGGCCAGUGCGCAGUGAACCUGCUCACUGGG